GUUGAACGCUGGCGGCAUGCCUUACACAUGCAAGUCGAACGGUAACGGGCCUUCGGGUGCCGACGAGUGGCGAACGGGUGAGUAAUGUAUCGGAACGUACCUUUCAGUGGGGGAUAACGUAGCGAAAGUUACGCUAAUACCGCAUAUUCUGUGAGCAGGAAAGCAGGGGAUCGCAAGACCUUGCGCUGAUUGAGCGGCCGAUAACAGAUUAGCUAGUUGGUGAGGUAAAGGCUCACCAAGGCGACGAUCUGUAGCGGGUCUGAGAGGAUGAUCCGCCACACUGGAACUGAGACACGGUCCAGACUCCUACGGGAGGCAGCAGUGGGGAAUUUUGGACAAUGGGGGCAACCCUGAUCCAGCCAUGCCGCGUGAGUGAAGAAGGCCUUCGGGUUGUAAAGCUCUUUCGGCCGGGAAGAAAUCGUAUCAGCUAAUACCUGGUGCGGAUGACGGUACCGGCAUAAGAAGCACCGGCUAACUACGUGCCAGCCGCCGCCGUAAGAC
rnacentral:rRNA from 1 species